AUUGAACGAUGGCGGCAGGCCUAACACAUGCAAGUCGAACGGUAACAGGAAGCAGCUUGCUGCUUUGCUGACGAGUGGCGGACGGGUGAGUAAUGUCUGGGAAACUGCCCGAUGGAGGGGGAUAACUACUGGAAACGGUAGCUAAUACCGCAUAACGUCGCAAGACCAAAGAGGGGGACCUUAGGGCCUCUUGCCAUCGGAUGUGCCCAGAUGGGAUUAGCUAGUAGGUGGGGUAACGGCUCACCUAGGCGACGAUCCCUAGCUGGUCUGAGAGGAUGACCAGCCACACUGGAACUGAGACACGGUCCAGACUCCUACGGGAGGCAGCAGUGGGGAAUAUUGCACAGUGGGCGCAAGCCUGAUGCAGCCAUGCCGCGUGUAUGAAGAAGGCCUUCGGGUUGUAAAGUACUUUCAGCGGGGAGGAAGGGAGUAAAGUUAAUACCUUUGCUCAUUGACGUUACCCGCAGAAGAAGCACCGGCUAACUCCGUG
rnacentral:rRNA from 1 species